rnacentral:rRNA from 1 species
AGGGUUUGAUCCUGGCUCAGAGUGAACGCUGGCGGCGUGGAUUAGGCAUGCAAGUCGAGCGAACUUUUUUAAUGAUGUAUAUUUGAAGCCUUCGGGUUGAUGAUGUGCUGAUUUAUUAAGGUUAGCGGCAAACGGGUGAGUAACACGUGGGUAACGUACCUUAAGGAGGAGGAUAGCCUUGAGAAAUCAGGGGUAAUACUCCGUAAUCCCUUAUACCUGGAAUGGUAAAGGGCAAAGAUGGCCUCUACUUGUAAGCUAUCGCCAUAAGAGCGGCCCGCGUCCUAUCAGGUUGUUGGCAGGGUAAAAGCCUACCAAGCCUAGACGGGUAGCUGGUCUGAGAGGAUGGUCAGCCACAUCGGGACUGAGACACUGCCCGGACUCCUACGGGAGGCUGUAGUCGAGAAUCUUUCACAAUGGACGAAAGUCUGAUGAUGCGACGCCGCGUGGGGGAUGAAGGUUUUCGGAUUGUAAACCCCUUUUAUUGAAGAGAAACUUUUAUGUUUCAAAUAGAGACAUAGGAUUGACUGUAUUCAAUGAAUAAGCCACGGCUAACUCCGUGCCAGCAGCCGCGGUAAUACGGAGGUGGCAAGCGUUACUCGGUUUGACUGGGUGUAAAGGGUCCGCAGGCGGCCAAAUAAGUGAAAGGUGAAAUCCUUCGGCUCAACCGGAGAAUGGCCUUUCAAACUGUAUGGCUCGAGGCUGGAAGAAGAGAGUAGAACUGCUAGUGUAAGGGUGAAAUCUGUGGAUAUUAGCAGGAAUGCCUGUGGUGUAGACGACUCUCUGGUCCAGACCUGACGCUCAGGGACAAAAGCUAGGGGAGCGAACAGGAUUAGAUACCCUGGUAGUCCUAGCUGUAAACGAUGGGCACUAGGUGUCUGUCCGUAAGGAUGGGUGCCGGAGUUAACGCGUUAAGUGCCCCACCUGGGGACUACGGCCGCAAGGCUAAAACUCAAAGGAAUUGACGGGGACCCGCACAAGCGGUGGAACACGUGGUUUAAUUCGAUGCUACGCGCGGAACCUUACCAGGGUUUGACGUGCUAGAAGUAGUGCCCCGAAAGGGGUUCCGACCGGUAACCAGUCCGGUACUAGCACAGGUGCUGCAUGGUUGUCGUUAGCUCGUGCCGUGAGGUGUUCCCUUAAGUGGGAAAACGAGCGCAACCCUCGCCCUUUGUUGCCACUUCUGGUUUUAAAUCAGAAAGCACUCUAGGGGGACUGCCCGCGUUAAGUGGGAGGAAGGUGGGGACGACGUCAAAUCCGCAUGGCCCUUAUAUCCUGGGCUACACACGUGUUACAAUGCCUGUUACAAUGGGGGGCGAAGCCGUGAGGUGGAGCAAAUCUCAAAAAAGACAGGCUCAGUUCGGAUCGAAGGCUGCAACUCGCCUUCGUGAAGCUGGAAUCGCUAGUAAUGGCGCAUCAGCUACGGCGCCGUGAAUACGUUCCCGGGUCUUGUACACACCGCCCGUCAAGCGCUGAAAGUGGGGGGCACCCGAAGUCCCGAUCAUUCGGGAUCACGGUGAAUUUCAUGAUUGGCGCUAAGUCGAAACAAGGUA